GAUGAAGAACGCAGCGAAAUGCGAUAAGUAAUGUGAAUUGCAGAAUUCAGUGAAUCAUCGAAUCUUUGAACGCACAUUGCGCCCGCCAGUAUUCUGGCGGGCAUGCCUGUUCGAGCGUCAUUUCAACCAUCAAGCCCCCGGCUUGUGUUGGGGACCUGCGGCUGCCGCAGGCCCUGAAAACCAGUGGCGGGCUCGCUGUCACACCGAGCGUUGUAGAUUUUCAUCUCGCUCAGGGCGUGCUGCGGGUUCCGGCCGUAAAAAGCCUUAUUUACCCAAGGUUGACCUCGGAUCAGGUAGGAAGACCCGCUGAACUUAAGCAUAUCAAUAAGCGGAGGA
rnacentral:misc_RNA from 1 species